rnacentral:rRNA from 1 species
UACGUAGGGUGCAAGCGUUGUCCGGAAUUAUUGGGCGUAAAGGGCGCGUAGGCGGCCUGCUAAGUCGAACGUGAAAUCCCUGGGCUCAACCCCAGGAACUGCGUCCGAUACUGGUUGGCUUGAAUCCGGGAGAGGGACGUGGAAUUCCAGGUGUAGCGGUGAAAUGCGUAGAGAUUUGGAGGAACACCCAGUGGCGAAGGCGACUUUCUGGUCUGUAACUGACACUGAGGCGCGAAAGCGUGGGGAGCGAACAGG